AGAGUUUGAUCCUGGCUCAGAACGAACGCUGGCGGCAGGCCUAACACAUGCAAGUCGAGCGGUAACAGGGGGUGCUUGCACUCUGCUGACGAGCGGCGGACGGGUGAGUAAUACUUGGGUAUCUGCCCGAUAGUGGGGGACAACACGGGGAAACUCGUGCUAAUACCGCAUACGUCCUACGGGAGAAAGCAGGCAUAUGCUUGCGCUAUCGGAUGAGCCCAAGUCGGAUUAGCUAGUUGGUAGGGUAAAGGCCUACCAAGGCGACGAUCCGUAACUGGUCUGAGAGGAUGAUCAGUCACAC
rnacentral:rRNA from 1 species